CCCGGGCCUUGUACACACCGCCCGUCACACCACGAAAGUUGGCAAUACCCGAAGCCGGUGGCCUAACCCGCAAGGGAGGGAGCCGUCGAAGGUAGGGUCGAUGAUUGGGGUG
rnacentral:rRNA from 1 species